UACGAAGGGGGCUAGCGUUGCUCGGAAUCACUGGGCGUAAAGGGUGCGUAGGCGGGUCUUUUAAGUCAGGGGGUGAAAUCCCUGGAGCUCAACUCCCAGAACUGCCUUUGAUACUGAGGAUCUUGAGUUCGGGGAGAGGUGAGUGGAACUGCGAGUGUAGAGGUGAAAUUCGUAGAUAUUCGCAAGAACACCAGUGGCGAAGGCGGCUCACUGGCCCGAUACUGACGCUGAGGCACGAAAGCGUGGGGAGCAAACAGG
rnacentral:rRNA from 1 species